UGAACGCUAGCUACAGGCUUAACACAUGCAAGUCGAGGGGCAUCAGGACGAUAGCUUGCUAUUGUUGCUGGCGACCGGCGCACGGGUGAGUAACGCGUAUCCAACCUGGCCCUUAGUAGGGGAUAGCCCGGCGAAAGUCGGAUUAAUACCCUAUGUUUUCCUUUGAUGGCAUCUGAUUUGGAACAAAGAUUAAUCGCUAAGGGAUGGGGAUGCGUCUGAUUAGGUAGUAGGCGGGGUAACGGCCCACCUAGCCAACGAUCAGUAGGGGUUCUGAGAGGAAGGUCCCCCACAUUGGUACUGAGACACGGACCAAACUCCUACGGGAGGCAGCAGUGAGGAAUAUUGGUCAAUGGGCGAGAGCCUGAACCAGCCAAGUAGCGUGCAGGAAUGACUGCCCUAUGGGUUGUAAACUGCUUUUAUGCGGGAAUAAAGUUCGGCACGUGUGCCGUUUUGUAUGUACCGCAUGAAUAAGGACCGGCUAAUUCCGUGCCAGCCGCAGC
rnacentral:rRNA from 1 species